rnacentral:rRNA from 1 species
AGGGCGCACGGUGGAUGCCUUGGCACUAGAAGCCGAAGAAGGACGUGACUAACGACGAAAUGCUUUGGGGAGCUGUAAGUAAGCGCUGAUCCAGAGAUGUCCGAAUGGGGGAACCCACUAGUUAAUGACUAGUAUCCAUAUCUGUUAAGGAUAUGAGAAGGAAGACGCAGUGAACUGAAACAUCUAAGUAGCUGCAGGAAGAGAAAGCAAAAGCGAUUGCCUUAGUAGCGGCGAGCGAAACGGCAGGAGGGCAAACCGAAGUGUAAACACUUCGGGGUUGUAGGACUGCGAUAUAGGAUUAAUCAUUAUAGAAGAAUUACCUGGGAAGGUAAGCCAAAGAGAGUAACAGCCUCGUAUUUAAAAUGAUAGAUUAACCUUAGCAGUAUCCUGAGUACGGCGAGACACGCGAAAUCUCGUCGGAAUCUGGGAGGACCAUCUCCCAACCCUAAAUACUCUCUAGUGACCGAUAGUGAACCAGUACCGUGAGGGAAAGGUGAAAAGCACCCCGGGAGGGGAGUGAAAUAGAACCUGAAACCGUGUGCCUACAACAAGUUCGAGCCCGUUAAUGGGUGAGAGCGUGCCUUUUGUAGAAUGAACCGGCGAGUUACGAUAUGAUGCGAGGUUAAGUUGAAGAGACGGAGCCGUAGGGAAACCGAGUCUUAAUAGGGCGCCAUAGUAUCAUGUUGUAGACCCGAAACCAUGUGACCUACCCAUGAGCAGGUUGAAGGUGAGGUAAAACUCACUGGAGGACCGAACCAGGGCACGUUGAAAAGUGCUUGGAUGACUUGUGGGUAGCGGAGAAAUUCCAAACGAACUUGGAGAUAGCUGGUUCUCUCCGAAAUAGCUUUAGGGCUAGCGUCGAUGUUAAGUCUCUUGGAGGUAGAGCACUGUUUGGGUGAGGGGUCCAUCCCGGAUUACCAAUCUCAGAUAAACUCCGAAUGCCAACGAGAUAUAAUCGGCAGUCAGACUGCGAGUGCUAAGAUCCGUAGUCGAAAGGGAAACAGCCCAGACCACCAGCUAAGGUCCCAAAAUAUAUGUUAAGUGGAAAAGGAUGUGGGGUUGCACAGACAACUAGGAUGUUAGCUUAGAAGCAGCUAUUCAUUCAAAGAGUGCGUAAUAGCUCACUAGUCGAGUGACCCUGCGCCGAAAAUGUACCGGGGCUAAAACAUAUUACCGAAGCUGUGGAUGACACAAAAGUGUCAUGGUAGGAGAGCGUUCUAUGUGUGAAGAAGGUGUACCGUGAGGAGCGCUGGAACGCAUAGAAGUGAGAAUGCCGGUAUGAGUAGCGCAAGACAGGUGAGAAUCCUGUCCACCGUAAGACUAAGGUUUCCAGGGGAAGGCUCGUCCGCCCUGGGUUAGUCGGGACCUAAGGAGAGACCGAAAGGUGUAUCCGAUGGACAACAGGUUGAUAUUCCUGUACUAGAGUAUAUAGUGAUGGAGGGACGCAGUAGGCUAACUAAACCAGACGAUUGGAAGUGUCUGGUCAAACAGUGAGGUGUGAUAUGAGUCAAAUGCUUAUAUCUUUAACAUUGAGCUGUGACGAGGAGCGAAGUUUAGUAGCGAAGUUAGUGAUGUCACACUGCCAAGAAAAGCUUCUAGCGAUACAUAUACUCUACCCGUACCGCAAACCGACACAGGUAGUCGAGGCGAGUAGCCUCAGGUGAGCGAGAGAACUCUCGUUAAGGAACUCGGCAAAAUGGCCCCGAAACUUCGGGAGAAGGGGCGCUGAUUUUAGAUCAGCCGCAGUGAAUAGGCCCAAGCAACUGUUUAUCAAAAACACAGCUCUCUGCUAAAUCGUAAGAUGAUGUAUAGGGGGUGACGCCUGCCCGGUGCUGGAAGGUUAAGAGGAGUGCUUAGCGUAAGCGAAGGUAUGAAUUGAAGCCCCAGUAAACGGCGGCCGUAACUAUAACGGUCCUAAGGUAGCGAAAUUCCUUGUCGGGUAAGUUCCGACCCGCACGAAAGGCGUAAUGAUUUGGGCACUGUCUCAACGAGAGACUCGGUGAAAUUUUAGUACCUGUGAAGAUGCAGGUUACCCGCGACAGGACGGAAAGACCCCAUGGAGCUUUACUGCAGUUUGAUAUUGAGUAUCUGUACCACAUGUACAGGAUAGGUAGGAGCCUAUGAUAACGGGACGCCAGUUUCGUUUGAGGCGUUGUUGGGAUACUACCCUUGUGUUAUGGCUACUCUAACCCAGAUAGGCAAUCCCUAUCGGAGACAGUGUCUGACGGGCAGUUUGACUGGGGCGGUCGCCUCCUAAAAGGUAACGGAGGCGCCCAAAGGUUCCCUCAGACUGGUUGG